AGCAGCCGCGGUAAUUCCAGCUCCAAUAGCGUAUAUUAAAGUUGUUGCAGUUAAAAAGCUCGUAGUUGAAUUUCGGGAUUGACACAUCGGUCGUGCCUUAAGGGGUAUGAACUGGUGUAGUCAAUUUCUCACCUUCUGGAGAACCGCGAUGCCCUUAAUUGGGUGUCACGGGGAACCAGGACCUUUACUUUGAAAAAAUUUAGAGUGUUUAAAGCAGGCAUUUUGCUUGAAUACAUUAGCAUGGAAUAAUAAAAUAGGACGGCAUGAUUCUAUUUUGUUGGUUUCUAGGAUCACCGUAAUGAUUAAUAGGGAUAGUUGGGGGGCAUUAGUAUUCAAUUGUCAGAGGUGAAAUUCUUGGAUUUAUUGAAGACUAACUACUGCGAAAGCAUUUGCCAAGGAUGUUUUCAUUAAUCAAGAACGAAAGUUAGGGGAUCGAAGACGAUCAGAUACCGUCGUAGUCUUAACCAUAAACUAUGCCGACUAGGGAUCGGAUGAUGUUAAUUUUUUUCAAUGACUCAUU
rnacentral:rRNA from 1 species